rnacentral:misc_RNA from 1 species
AAGUCGUAACAAGGUUUCCGUAGGUGAACCUGCGGAAGGAUCAUUACAGAGAACUUGCCCUUCGGGGUAGAUCUCCCACCCUUUGUUAACAUUACCACAGUUGCUUUGGCAGGCCAGACGUUUGUCUACCGGCUUAGGCUGGACAGUGCCUGCCAGAGGACCUAAACUCUUAAUUUGAUGUCGUCUGAGUAACAUAUAAUAGUUAAAACUUUCAACAACGGAUCUCUUGGUUCUG